UACGUAGGUGGCAAGCGUUGUCCGGAAUUAUUGGGCGUAAAGCGCGCGCAGGUGGUUCCUUAAGUCUGAUGUGAAGGCCCACGGCUCAACCGUGGAGGGUCAUUGGAAACUGGGGAACUUGAGUGCAGAAGAGGAAAGUGGAAUUCCAAGUGUAGCGGUGAAAUGCGUAGAGAUGUGGAGGAACACCAGUGGCGAAGGCGACUUUCUGGUCUGUAACUGACACUGAGGCGCGAAAGCGUGGGGAGCAAACAGG
rnacentral:rRNA from 1 species